CCUUGUUGCGAUCAACAAUAUUUAAUGUGACCAGGAAUUUCAUCAACUUCACAGAGCCAGGGGAGGCGAUGGGAAAUCGAGCUGAGGGCCCGAGUGAGGACAGACCUGCAAGAAAUUUCGACCACGCAGAGAUCGGGUCAAGUCGAUUGAACGGUCACUCUAAUGAUGCAGCAGGAAGGAAACACGCAAGUUAUUUUGCAGUGAAAAAGAGGGCAGUUAAUUUUUAAUCAGCAAAGUUAUGUUUUUAGCAGGCGGUUAAUGUAAAGUCACCAUUGUCUCAUUAGGGAGAGGGAGAAAGAGGUGUGGGGGAGAAAAAGAGAGAAAAAGCAACAACUGUUUUAUGGUUUAACCUGAGGGUCACCACAUCUAAAACACAGAGAAUGAUCACACACGGCAAUCUCAACCAGAGCAGCAAUUGAACUGCAUGCUGUCACCGUGACUAUACAUUGUAAGCCUACUAUAGAAUCAACUGAGCUAACCAACCCCUGCAUGGCCAGUGGCAGAAACAUUGGGUGGCACAGUGGCUCAGUGGUUAGCAUUGCUGCCUCACAGCGCCAGGA